GCAGAUGUGAUACGAUUCAAUAACUGUCAAGCCAGGAACUAACGAUCCGCACAUCUGACAUCAUGAAAUACUUGGUUCUUCUCCUGUGUCUCAGCUUCGUCGCCAUGUCAUACGCCGCGCCGUGUGUGGAGGAGAACUGUUUCUUCAACCCCUGCAUGUUUGCUGAGUGUCCCGAACACCCGAACGCCGAGUGCAGGGCCAACUACUGUGGCGGAUGUAACGCCGAGUUUUUCCUCAACGACGUGGAAGUGACGAGCCAGUGUUCCUCCGUCUAACGGUCUCUCUCUCUCUCAAAGACAGAAUAUCCCCCCCCCCCCAAGAAGUAGGUCUCUCUCAUAGACAGAAGACCCCCCCCCCCCCGAAGUAGGUCAAGGUCAUGGCUGACUGGCACAGAAGCUCGUAGAUCUACAGAGGACUCUGCUUUGCUGACUAGGCCAUGUCGUUGACCCAAGAUUGUGGUGGUAGAGAAUACUUGAAUAAAGUAAUGAGUGCUCAUCA